rnacentral:lncRNA from 1 species
CCAGGCCGAGGGGCGGGGGCGUCCCCGGGCCCUGGCGCGGCGCCUGGAGCUCCUGCUGCUGGAAGCGCCAUGUGACCGUGACUCUGCACAAGCCGGGAACGCGGAGAAACAAAGGGCGGCUCAGCGGCCACCGGGCGCUCAGGCUGGCACGGAGGGCCCGGCCCCAACCCCAACCGGGGCCCCGCACUCUUGUCCCUACGGACCCUCGGUGCCCAGGGCGAGCAGGGAGGCGCCGGAUCCUGCUGAGGCCCGGGGCGGGGAGCGCGGCCUCCCAGGGAGCUGGGGAGGGAGGGCAGGCCUGAGGACGCUGAAAUGCAAGUGCGAGGCGGGGUGGGCGAUGUCGGGUCCGGGCUGGGCCGUGGAGUGUUGCAGGUUCCUUCCUCACGGCUGGCUCUGGCAAAUGACCCUCCCUGAACCUCUGUUUCUGUAAUAGAGGUGAAGAUAAUCGUCCCCACGCAAUUAUCCUAGGGUUAGGAGGCUUAAGGGAGGCGUCCCAUGUAGAGCGGUGAGGACAGCACAGGGUUGUCGGGCCGCAUUCUAGCUCCUCUCCCACAUAAACAUGCACAGGAUUUCGGGUCACUGAGCUGCCACUUUCCAGUCACAGCAGGGAUGUAGUUCCGGCCAGAGCACCAGGAAGAGGAGCAGGAUGGGGCAGCUGGCACAGGGCGGAGCCAGGGUGGGCACCGCUGCGUAUAUGGAGAGGGGAUUAGCACUGGGGCUCUAGCAGAAGCGGGGAGAUAGGAAAUCCCAAGACAGCCUGGUUAUCCGGCCCUGGCUCUCUCCCGGCCCUGGAUGGGAGUGGCUUGUCUCCUAGUCACUUUCCCCAGCCCAGGGGGAACAAAGGGGCUGGAGAGGGUGGGGGCCCACCUUGGAGUGGGCCUCAGGGUACAUUGAGACUCCUGCCUCCGCACCAGAUUUGCAGGUUUGACUUCUCCUGAGGAAGCCUCCACCCUAUGGCCACAAGGCCCUAGGGCCUGUAUUUACAGAGUUCUGAAUUUACCUGGCCCUAAAACCACGUGGCCUGUGCAUGCAUAAUAGAGGCCACAGCACAGAGCUCUUGAGGUAGUGGCCCAGUGGGGACUCUGGGCUUGGUCCCAGCUGGGGGACUGACGUUAAGGAUCUAGCCUCCGUUCCUUCCCUGCCUGGGGAAAAAGAGAAGAGGAGCAGUCCAGGCACUGGCGACAGCCUGUAAUAAGAGGCCCUGAGUGCCACCAAGAGCAUGGUUGGAGAGUGACUCAGCCUCGUUGGUGCCUCCUCAGCAUGCAGGUCUGUGUUCAGAUGUCCCCUUUUCCAGGAAGCCUGCUCUCUCCCCCAGCCCGGCCUCCUCAGUCACUUAGGACACCACCUAGCGAUUGCCUUUCCACCCUCAGGACAGGACCAACUGCUGCUACUGCCCACUAUUGUGUAUCCAGGACCUGGAAUACGGUAGGUGCCAAGUAUUUGUUGAAAGAGUCAUUGAAUAGGUUGAGUUCGCCCUGGAUUCCUCUAAAGCUGAUAACAGUCCUUGAUCAGGGCUUCCUUUGUAAGAGAACAGUCCAACCCAGUGCUGUCCAAUAGAACUUUCUGUGAUGAUAGGAACAUUCUUUUUUUUUUUCUUCUUUUUUUUUGAGGAAGAUUAGCCCUAGCUAAUCACCAACUGGGGGAUCAAGUGCUGGAGAAAUGCCAUUUGGUGAAGAAGCCCAUGGAUUGCCAAGAGUGGUUUGCCUGUCUCCAAUGGCCCGGAAGGACCUAUAGGGUGAAGUGUGAGAAUCGGUACUUCAAGAAUCCUCCUCAAAUACGAAGGAUGUGAGAGGAGCCAGCCGCUACCUGCCUACCGCAGUCUGCUCAGCGUGGAGUAAGUCCAGCCCCGGCCCCUGGAGGAGUUCCUGCCUGUGUCCCACUCUGAGUGACUGCGAUCCUGUGGCCCUUGUGGCUGCAGUGACGAUUUAUGGGGAUACUGAGGUCAUCUUCAAAGUGCUUUUGAUCUAAAUUCUCCCAGAUGUACCCUUUCUUUACCUUGCAAAUCUGGUUGAGGAGAGAGAGGGCGUUGGGAGCAGAAGGACUUCGGGACAGUGAUUUCCAAAUCUGGUCCUCAGAAUACCGAUGGACCAUGAUGAUGACGUCACCAGUCGGUGACAAAAAAGGAGAAAAGCACAAACUGUGGACUGAGCUUUUCCUGAAGCAAAAUUAUUUCAUUUAAAGGACCAUCCUUUAAAGGGAAAUCAAGUUCUUCCUCCUUUUUUGGUAUUAAACUAUACUUUCUUUCAGGUCACUUGAUUUUGCUGGGCCUCACCUAUAAAAUGGGGUGAGAGGGGCAGGGGAUUGGCCUAGAUAAUUUACAAGGGCUUUUCAACUCCAGUAUUCCAAGAUCCUUGGGGCUCUGGGGCCAGUAUCCCCGCCCGGGAUUGUGUCUCUCACACCCUCUACCUCCCCCGCAUAUACCCACCCGACCCUCCCUGCUCAGCCACAUAACGUUUGCGCUCUCCGCUGAGCUCGCCUAUGUGCUCCCUGGGGAGAGGCGCCCCCUCCACAGUGGACUCUGGAUUAAACGAUAAUCCAGGAGAUACAGUUUAGAAAAGGCAGGCGUGGGUUUCGAAUAGCAGAAUGUUUGUCCCCAGAUAAUGAGUGGAUCAAGCUCAGCCUCCCUGCGGGCCUGGAAGUUAGAAGGACAGAAAGUCAUAGACCGGGAGCAAAACCCAGAGAACAGAUAUCCAGGGGGGGCUGGGUCGGGGGAGAGCCUGGAAAGAGAUGGAAGUUCUGGCUGAAGAAGGAUAUCCUGGACUCCUACAACACCUGGGCUGGGGAGGCCCAGGCCAUCUGGUCCUGUCUUUUCAUGUCAUAGAUAAGGACAUGAAGGCUCAGGGAGGCAGAGGGGUCUGUGACUGGGGGAUGGGGUAUACAUUUUUUUUUUAAGAUUUUAUUUUUCUUUUUCUCCCCGAAGCCCCCCGGUACGUAGUUGUGUAUUUUUCGUAGUGAGUCCUUUCAAUUGUGGCAUGUGGGAUGCCGCUUCAGCAUGGCUUGACGAGUGGUGCCAUGUCCGCUCCCAGGAUUCAAACCGGCAAAACCCUGGGCCCCCCAAGCAGAGCGUUCGAAGUUAACCACUCGGCCACAGGGCCAGCCCCUGGGGUAUACAUCUUUUUCACUAGCACCCUGGAAAGGGUCUAGCCUGGAGGUGGAAAGGGAUUAAGGGAGAGAGACUUGGAAACUGAGUCCAGGAGAGGCCAGAGCACUAAGUGAGGGCUGCCCCAGGCCCCUCAUGAGCCUUGUAGCCCUGCUGCCCAGCCUGCUUGCUCUGCUCUGGCCCCUUCUCCGGUCGCCUUUCCUUUGCCCUCAGCUCAGCUCUCAGGACAUCAGAGACAGCCGGCCUGAUGGGAUUGGAGCAGGAAGCUGGCAAGAGAGCCAGAGAGGGAGGAGGGUUGGGGGGGUGCCCUGCUGAGCACCCCUCAACUCCACAUGCCCUUGUUGAGAAGCUCCAGGAAGAGGGGAGAGGAAGGGGAGCUGUCAUUGCACGAACACGUAGACCAGACUCCUCUCCCCCACGCACACACUUCUGCGCUCCAAGCGGAUCCAGGGACCGGGAGGUGCAGGCGGCUCUCACGGAUGCUCUUAAUCCUAAACACGGGGGCUGGGCCCUGUGGAGAACGGCAGGGUCAGGAGGCCCUCUGUGAACCUCCUGUCACCUUCAACGCUGAGUCAAAUCGUUAAUAAAUCAAGCAUGAGGUGAAAGGCCACAUCAGAAGUCUCCCUAAUACACUUGCUGCCCGCGCCUGUAGCUGCAGCUGUUGGUGGAAGGUCGUUUUUAUUUAUUUAUUUAUUUAUUUUUAAAGAUUUUAUUUUUUUCCUUUUUCUCCCCAAAGACCCCCGGUACAUAGUUGCAUAUUCUUCAUUGUGGGUCCUUCUAGUUGUGGCGUGUGGGAUGCUGCCUCAGCGUGGUUUGAUGAGCAGUGCCAUGUCCGUGCCCAGGAUUCGAACUAACGAAACACUGGGCCGCCUGCAGCGGAACGCGCGAACUUAACCACUCGGCCACGGGGCCAGCCCCAUGGAAGGUCAUUUUUAAAGCAACGAUGUCAGGGGCCAGAGAGGAACCCAGCCCAAAGUCCCCAAAUCUACCUGGUAGAUGCCACCAACUUCAGGAAGGCUUCCGGCAAGGAGACCUUGGGCAGGCUGGGUGAUGCCCCAGUGCCCUCGGCUGUGCCUGCCCUUGAUCACCAGGCUGUUCACUGCCUGGGAAGCUGGGAGCUGGGGCACCUGGAUGGUCUGGAAAUGGAGGGCCUGUGGAGCCCCAUGCUUGCCUGCUCCUCCCUGCCACCCUCUCCCUGAGAGCAAGAGGCAAGGCCAGGAGGCUCCUGGGAGCCUAAUUCCCAGGGCCUGGCAGCCAGCUCUGUAGCUGAUGCAAGGCCAGGGACGGGUGAGCUCAGUCUGUCUCCGGCACGUGGAGCUUCUUGCAUCCUAGAAAACAUACCCAUUCAUUCCUGUCUGCUUCAGCCCUCCUAGGUCUCUGGCUCCAUUCUUCUGGAAGCAGAGCAGGGCCGCGUAAGGCUCUGGGAGCAAGCCUUGCUUGGUGCUAGGGCAGCACUGAGCAUUUUGGAGUCAACCCCACUCCCCUGCACAGGCAGCCUUUGAACAGUACUGGGACUCGGAGCCCUGCCUCCAGGGGGCCUGUCCAGUGGAAAUGGAGAACCUGGGUACCCCUUGGCCCUCAGGCUCUAUCCAUGCCAGCCCACUUCUCCUUCAGGGAGAGGUCAGACAGCCCUGGCAAGUCUCUUAUCCCAUUAGAAGGAUGGACUUUCUUCCACCUGCCUCCACCUCUUAGUCUUGAUGCCCACGCCCCAGGUAGGAAUGCCAGGGCCCUACCACCCUCUCAAGGACCCUCGAGGCAUCAUCAGCUCAGGAUGAGGAUUCAUUCGGCAGCUAUUUACUAAGAGCUCGGUAAUAAUCACAUAACAUGUAAUAGCACAACGCGGAUAACGUGUGUGCCUCAAAAUGCUUUCAUGAUUAAUUAGUGCUUCAAGGGAUCCUAGUCACAGUGCUGUGACGUAGGGAGGCCCUCGAUGAAGAAGCUAAGGCCCAGAGAGUUUAAGUGGCAGAACCGGAAGUCCUGCCCGCAGGGUCUUCUUGCCGGCAAGCGCCUGAGUGGGAAGCAGGCUUCGAGAGGCAGGCUUGCUUGUCACUGGAGACCCAUUUAGACAGAGGAACUUUUCUCCUGGGGAAGGAGGAGCAGGUGGAGGAGGCUGGGAGAAGAGGACUUGUGGAUUUGGGGUAGAGGCAUGCUGGGGGCCAGGCCUGUCUGGGAAGGCCUGGAGAGGUUCUGGGGGCACUGAGAUCCGGAAGGGAGGGUACUCAGAGCACUGGAGUUGCAGCUCCUGCCCUUCAGCUGCUCACUCAGACAAAGGCUCAUUGGUCACGCCAACCUCAGGCUAGUUCCCGCUGGGUUGUGGCUGCUGCCUGGGGGCUGAGGCAGGCUUCAGGACUGGCCUCUCCAAUUCUGGCCCGGGACCAGUGGCAGUGGCCAUUACUGGCGUCCCUGUUGAUACCAGCAUUGAAUGAAGCCGUCUUUGUCACCUGCCCCAUCUACCUUGGGUCUACCCUUCCCCCUCGGCCGUGCUUGACCCUCUCUGGGUGGCUGUCUGCACAUCUUCAUGACCUUCGCCCACUCUCUCAGCAGUUCUUGUUGCUGACGCAACUUCUGAGGCUGGUGAGCUGAGGCUGCCCAGGCUCGCAGGCAGCUGGCUCCACUUCCUGCUUCCUCAUUCUGCUCAAGGUGUCACCAUGCUUACGGUCGAGGACACCGAUCUGGGCCCGGGAUCUCACCUGACUCUCUCCAGGCUCCCCAAGGACCAAAGCUCUAUUGUGGGAUCAAGGCCCCAUCUGCCUUCCUGGAGUUCCAACCAUGGCCUGCUGCCAAGUCCUGCUCCCCACCACCCUCCAUUGCCUUGUUCCCCCUGGAUUUCCACCACAGGUAACGGUGUGAAGUCAGGGUGAACUUAAUUGGGGUGAAGGAUGACUGCUGCAUUAAAUUGGAUGGAACUGGUCUGUUCAACCACUGCCCAUUAAAAAUGGUGGCCUUUCUUUAACAUAGCCAUAAUGAGACCAUCCCUCCAGAGAAAAGUGCUAAUAGAAUCACCCGCCUUGAAUGCUUAACUCUUACUCAAUGCCUUGACCUGGACGUCUGAUAGACAUGGCCCACAUACUAUCUAAAAUCAAACCUUUUCUUCCCCCCAAACCUGCUCAUUCCACAGCGUUCCCUAGCUCAGUAAAAGACUACAUGGCACCUUCGUUCUUUCAGUGCUCAGACCAAAACCAGUUUAAGGUCUCCUUUGAUGUGUUUCCUUUACUCACACUCUACAGUAAAUAUAUCAGUAAAUCCUUCAUUGGCUCUACCUUCAAAAUAUAUCCACCACUUCCCCUGCUGCCACUGUUCCUAGCCACUGAAGUCUUGACCAUGACCUCCCAGGCUCCAUGUCAUCUGGCCCACUGCCACCUCCCUGGUCUCAUCUCCUGCCACUCUGCCUACUUUGCUCCUGCUGCACUGGCCUUCUUGCUGGUCCUCAGGCACCACAGCCCACUCUUGCCUCGAGGCCUUUGCCCUGCUGUCCUCUCACUUGGAAUUUUCUCCCCGGGCACUCACAAUGCUGGCUUUCUCAUUUUCUUGUGGUCCCUGCCCAGAUGUCACUUCCUCAGUGAGACCUCCAGACCACCCUAUUUAAGGUAAACCCUCCCACAUUCAAUACUCCCACACGCUAGAUCCCUCUUUGCGUUUUUUUUGUUGUUGUACUUAUCACGACUUGGC